GCAUUAAUGGGGUAGAGGUAACCCAGGUCUUCAAAGUUCCUGCCUUGAGUGAAAAGUUUAAAGACCAGCCGAGGGUUCGAAUCCCUAUUAAUGCA